GACGGAGGGUGCUAGCGUUGUUCGGAUUUACUGGGCGUAAAGGGCGCGUAGGCGGCCUGAUCAGUCGGGUGUGAAAGCCCGGGGCUCAACCCCGGAACGGCACCCGAGACGGUCAGGCUGGAGACCGGGAGAGGAGGGUGGAAUAGCCAGUGUAGAGGUGAAAUUCGUAGAUAUUGGCUGGAACACCGGUGGCGAAAGAGGCUCUUUGGCCCGGUUCUGACGCUGAGGCGCGAAAGCGUGGGGAGCAAACAGG
rnacentral:rRNA from 1 species